rnacentral:rRNA from 1 species
AAGCAAGGAAACUUACAACAAAGAGUCCCUCCCGACUGUUUACCAAAAACACAGCACUCUGCUAACUCGUAAGAGGAUGUAUAGGGUGUGACGCCUGCCCGGUGCUCGAAGGUUAAUUGAUGGGGUUAGCAUUAGCGAAGCUCUUGAUCGAAGCCCGAGUAAACGGCGGCCGUAACUAUAACGGUCCUAAGGUAGCGAAAUUCCUUGUCGGUUAAAUACCGACCUGCAUGAAUGGCGUAACGAGAUGGGAGCUGUCUCAAAGAGGGAUCCAGUGAAAUUGUAGUGGAGGUGAAAAUUCCUCCUACCCGCGGCAAGACGGAAAGACCCCGUGGACCUUUACUACAGCUUGACACUGCUACUUGGAUAAGAAUGUGCAGGAUAGGUGGGAGGCUUUGAGUAUAUGACGCCAGUUGUAUAUGAGCCAUUGUUGAGAUACCACUCUUUCUUAUUUGGGUAGCUAACCAGCUUGAGUUAUCCUCAAGUGGGACAAUGUCUGGUGGGUAGUUUGACUGGGGCGGUCGCCUCCCAAAUAAUAACGGAGGCUUACAAAGGUUGGCUCAGAACGGUUGGAAAUCGUUCGUAGAGUAUAAAGGUAUAAGCCAGCUUAACUGCAAGACAUACAAGUCAAGCAGAGACGAAAGUCGGUCUUAGUGAUCCGGUGGUUCUGUGUGGAAGGGCCAUCGCUCAAAGGAUAAAAGGUACCCCGGGGAUAACAGGCUGAUCUCCCCCAAGAGCUCACAUCGACGGGGAGGUUUGGCACCUCGAUGUCGGCUCAUCGCAUCCUGGGGCUGGAGCAGGUCCCAAGGGUAUGGCUGUUCGCCAUUUAAAGCGGUACGCGAGCUGGGUUCAGAACGUCGUGAGACAGUUCGGUCCCUAUCUGCCGUGGGCGUAAGAAGAUUGAAGAGAUUUGACCCUAGUACGAGAGGACCGGGUUGAACAAACCACUGGUGUAGCUGUUGUUCUGCCAAGAGCAUCGCAGCGUAGCUAAGUUUGGAAAGGAUAAACGCUGAAAGCAUCUAAGCGUGAAGCCAACUCUAAGAUGAAUCUUCUCUAAGCUCUCUAGAAGACUACUAGUUUGAUAGGCUGGGUGUGUAAUGGAUGAAAGUCCUUUAGCUGACCAGUACUAAUAGAGCGUUUGGCUUAUCUUU